rnacentral:rRNA from 1 species
UACGAAGGGGGCUAGCGUUGCUCGGAAUUACUGGGCGUAAAGGGCGCGUAGGCGGGUCGUUAAGUUAGAGGUGAAAGCCCAGGGCUCAACCCUGGAAUUGCCUUUGAUACUGGCGACCUUGAGUAUGGCAGAGGUGUGUGGAACUCCGAGUGUAGAGGUGAAAUUCGUAGAUAUUCGGAAGAACACCAGUGGCGAAGGCGACACACUGGGCCAUUACUGACGCUGAGGCGCGAAAGCGUGGGGAGCAAACAGG